rnacentral:rRNA from 1 species
CCUACGGGUGUCAGCAGUGGGGCAUAUUGGACAAUGAGGGGAACCCUGAUCCAGCGACGCCGCGUGAGUGACGCAGUAUUUCGGUAUGUAAAGCUCUAUCAGCAGGGAAGAAAGAAAUGACGGUACCUGACUAAGAAGCCACGGCUAACUACGUGCCAGCAGCCGCGGUAAUACGGAGGGGGCAAGCGUUAUCCGGAUUUACUGGGUGUAAAGGGAGCGUAGACGGCGAUGCAAGUCUGAAGUGAAAGGCGGGGGCCCAACCCGCGGACGGCAUUGGAAACUGUAUGGCUGGAGUGCAGGAGAGGUAAGUGGAAGUCCUGGUGUAGCGGUGAAAUGCGUAGAUAUUAGGAGGAACACCAGUGGCGAAGGCGGCUUACUGGACUGUAACUGACGUUGAGGCUCGAAAGCGUGGGGAGCAAACAGGAUUAGAUACCCCAGUAGUC